rnacentral:rRNA from 1 species
UACAGAGGUCCCAAGCGUUGUUCGGAUUCACUGGGCGUAAAGGGUGCGUAGGUGGUCAUGCAAGUCAGGUGUGAAAUCUCCGGGCUCAACCCGGAAAUGGCAUUCGAAACUACCUUGCUAGAGGGUUUGAGGGGGGACUGGAAUACUUGGUGUAGCAGUGAAAUGCGUAGAUAUCAAGUGGAACACCAGUGGCGAAGGCGAGUCCCUGGAAAACUCCUGACACUGAGGCACGAAAGCUAGGGGAGCAAACAGG